GAUGAACGCUGGCGGCGUGCCUAAUACAUGCAAGUCGAGCGAACAGACGCGGAGCUUGCUCCUCUGACGUUAGCGGCGGACGGGUGAGUAACACGUGGAUAACCUACCUAUAAGACUGGGAUAACUUCGGGAAACCGGAGCUAAUACCGGAUAAUAUAUUGAACCGCAUGGUUCAAUAGUGAAAGACGGUUUUGCUGUCACUUAUAGAUGGAUCCGCGCCGCAUUAGCUAGUUGGUAAGGUAACGGCUUACCAAGGCAACGAUGCGUAGCCGACCUGAGAGGGUGAUCGGCGACACUGGAACUGAGACACGGCCCAGACUCCUACGGGAGGCAGCAGUAGGGAAUCUUCCGCAAUGGGCGAAAGCCUGACGGAGCAGCGCCGCGUGAGUGAUGAAGGUCUUCGGAUCGUAGAACUCUGUUAUUAGGGAAGAACAAAUGUGUAAGUAACUAUGCACGUCUUGACGGUACCUAGUCAGAAAGCCACGGCUAACUACGUG
rnacentral:rRNA from 1 species